rnacentral:rRNA from 1 species
GAUGAACGCUGGCGGCGUGCCUAAUACAUGCAAGUCGAGCGAACAGAUGAGGAGCUUGCUCCUCUGACGUUAGCGGCGGACGGGUGAGUAACACGUGGAUAACCUACCUAUAAGACUGGGAUAACUUCGGGAAACCGGAGCUAAUACCGGAUAAUAUAUUGAACCGCAUGGUUCAAUAGUGAAAGACGGUUUUGCUGUCACUUAUAGAUGGAUCCGCGCCGCAUUAGCUAGUUGGUAAGGUAACGGCUUACCAAGGCAACGAUGCGUAGCCGACCUGAGAGGGUGAUCGGCCAAACUGGAACUGAGGCACGGUCCAGACUCCUACGGGAGGCAGCAGUAGGGAAUCUUCCGCAAUGGGCGAAAGCCUGACGGAGCAACGCCGCGUGAGUGAUGAAGGUCUUCGGAUCGUAAAACUCUGUUAUUAGGGAAGAACAAAUGUGUAAGUAACUAUGCACGUCUUGACGGUACCUAAUCAGAAAGCCACGGCUAACUACGUG